rnacentral:lncRNA from 1 species
CACAUAGGUGUGAGGGCAGAAGUCCUAUUUCAAAAAGCUAAAAAUUAAGUGGGUGGUGGGAAUUUGAUCAUUUGUCAUCAAACUUUGAGUGUGCUUGUGCUUUGCACUUUACUUCCACUCAAACCAUGGAGGCAGUAAAAGACUCUGGCUUCCACUAAAUGAAUGGUUUGACUCAACAUUUUCAAGCAUUUUGGUACUUUCUUCUUUUCUCAGGGUGUACUAUACAUCAACAACAAGUAAGAAUUUCCUAGAUCUCACAGUAAUAAAGUUCAUGUUUUACUCUUCCUACAUUUUUUUUUUUGUUGUUGUUGUUCUUUCAAACUUUUAUUUUAGGAUCAUGGGGUAUACGGGCAGGUUUGUUACAUGGAUUAAUUGCAUGUUGCGGGGGUUUGAUGUACAGAUUAUUUAGUCACCCACUUAAGGAUUAUAGUACCUGAUAAGUACUAUAAUAGUUUUUCCAAUCUCACCCUCCUUCCACUCGCCACACUCAAGUAAACCCCAGUAUCCAUUGCUCCCUUUUUUUCUGUGUUCAUGUGUACUCAAUGUUUAGCUCCCGCUUUUAAGUGAGAACAUGCAGUAUUUGAUUUUCUGUUCCUGCGUUAACUUGCUUAGGAUAAUGGCCUCCAGCUCCAUGCAUGUUGCUGCAAAGAAUAUGAUUUUAUUCAUUUUAUUAACAGCAUAGUAUGCCAUGGUGCAUAUUUACCACAUUUCCUUUAUCUAGAGAAUCUUGUUGGGCAUCUAGAUUGAUUCUAUGGCUUUGCUAUUGUAAAUUGUGCCGCAAUGAAUAUAAUGUGCAUGUCUCUUUAGGAUAGAAUUAUUUAUAUUUCUUUGGGUAUAUACCCAGGAAUUGGGUUGCUGGGUGAAAUAGUAGCUCUACUUUUAAGUUAUUUGAGAAAUCUCCAAACUGCUUUGCACAGUGGCUGGGCUAAUUUACAUUCCCAAUGGCAGUAGUAUAAGGAUUCCCUUUUUUCCACAGCCUUACCAGCAUCUGUUAUUUUUUGACUUUGUAAUAAUAGCCACUCUGACUGGUGUGAGAUGAUAUCUCAUUGUGGUUUUGAUGCAUUUCUCUGAUGAUUACUGAUGUUGAGCAUUUUUUCAUGUGCUUGUUGGCCAUAUGUAUGUCUUCUUUUGGGAAGUUUCUGUUCAUGUCUUUGUUUAUCUUUUAAUAGGGCUGUUUAUUUUUUGCUUGUUAAUUUGUUUAAAUUCCUUAUAGAUUCUGCAUAUUAGACCUUUGUCAGAUGAAUAGUUUGCAAAUAUUUCCCCCAUUCUGAAGGUUGUCUGUUUACUCUGUUGAUAGUUUCUUUUGCUGUGGAGAAGCUCUUUAGUUUAAUUAGGUCACACUUGUUUUUGUUGCAGUUACUUUUGAAGCCUUCAUCAUGAAAUUUUUAUAGGGCCUAUGUCCACAGUGAUAUUUCCUAGAUUAUCUUCUUUUUUAUGGUUUUAGGUUUUAUAUUUAAGUCUUUAACCUACCUUGUGUUGAUUUUUGCAUAUGGUUAAAGAAAGGGCUCCAGUUCUGCAUAUAACUAGCCUGUUCUCCCAACACAAAUUAUUGAAUAGGGGGUUCCUUCUCCAUUGCUUGUUUUUGUCAAUUUUGUUUAUUUCUGGCUUCCCCAAUCUGUACCAUUGACUUAUGAUCUGUUUUUCUACCAGUACUAUGAUGUUUUAGUUACUGUAGCCUUGUAGUAUAGUUUAAAGUUGGGUAGUGUGAUGCCUCUGGAUUUGUUCUUUUUGCUCAGUAUUGCUGUGGCCAUUUGGAUUCUUUUUUGGCUCUGUAUGAAUUUUAGAAUAGUUUUUCUAAUUCUGCGAAAAAUGUCAUUGAUAGUUUAAUAGGGAUAGCAUUAAACCUCUAGAUUGCUUUGUAUAGUAUGGUUAUUUUAAUAACAUUAAUUAUUUCUAUUCAUGAGCAUGUAAUGUUUUCCCAUUUGUCUGUGUCAUCUCUGAUUUCUUUCAGCAGUGUUUUGUAACUUUCAUUUUAGAGACCUUGCCUCCCUGGUUAGCUGUAUUCCUAUAUUUUAUUUUUUUGUAUGUGGCUAUUUGUUAGUGGGAUUUCAUUCUUGAUUUGUCUCUCAGAUUGGACAUUAUUGGUGUAUAGAAAUGCUACUGAUUUUUGUACAUUGAUUUUUGGUACUGAAACUUUGCCGUAGUUGUUAAUCAGAUCGAAGAGCUCUUGGGUAGAGACUGUGGGGUUUUCUAGGUAUAAAAUAAUAUCAUAUGUGAAGAGAGAUAGCUUGACCUCCUCUUUUCUUAUUUGGAUGCCUUUUACUUUCUCUUGCCUAAUUGCUCUGGCUAGAACUUCUAGUACUAUGUUGAAUAGGAGUGAUGAGAGUGGUCAUCCUUGUCUUGUCCUGGUUCUCAGGAGAAUUUUUCUAGCUUUUGUCCAUUUAGUAUAAUGUUGGCUGUGGGUUUGCCAUCAUUGGCUCCCUAUUUUUAGAUAUGUUUCUUAGAUCCCUAGUUUUUUGAGGCUUUUUUAACAUGAAGGAAUGUUGAAUUUAAUUGAAAGCCUUUUCUGCAUCUAUUGAAAUGAUCAUGUGGGUUUUAAUUGUUUUUACAUGGAAAUUAAAUAAGCUGCUCCCAGAUGACGUGGGUAAACAAUGAAAUUAAGGCAGAAAGAUAAUUGUUUGAAACUAAGAAAAACAAAAAUACAACGUAUUGAAAUCUCUGGAACACAGCUAUAUCCAUGUUAGAAGAAAUUUUAUAGUGCUAAAUGCCCACAUGAAAAAGUUAGAAAGAUCUCCAGUUAACAAUCUACCAUCACACCUAGAGGAACUGGAAAAACAAGAGCAAACCCACCCCAAAGCUGCAGAAGAAAAUUAAUAACCUAAUCAGAGCUGAACGGAAUGAAAUUGAGAUGUGAAAAAUUAUACAAAAGAUCAAUGACACCAAAAGCUGGUUAUUCGAAAGAAUAAAUAAGAUCGAUGGCCUGCUAGCUAAGUUAAUAAAGAAACAAAUAGAAAAUCCAAAUAAACACAAUCAGAAAUGAUAAAGGGGACAUUACUUCCUACCCUAAUUCAUUUUAAGAGGCCAGCAUCAUUGUGAUACAAAAACUUAGCUGAGACGCAACAAAAAAUGAAAGCUUUAAGCCCAUUAUUUUCAAUUGUUCAUGAGACUCAUUCCAUUUAUUUUACACAAUAUCUCAAACCUGUCCCUUCCUUUCUAUUACCACUGCCAAAAAUUACAGUCUUAAGUAAGGGUCUGUAGCCUUACAUCCAGAGAAUUACAGAAAACUUUUAGCUGAUUUAUUUGUGCCUCCCCCCCUCCCAAAGUUUUUUCAUUCAAUCUAUCCAAUAUAUUACCUUCAAAUGAAUCCUUCUAAAGUAGGACAUUGAUCACGCAAAUAUUGAGAUCGAAAAUCCUGUUAUCUCUGGUUUGCCUGAUGGAUAAAUUCCAAACAUUUUUCAAAAUUUGGAACCCUAGGUAACCUGGCAUUCUUAGUCUCAGUUGCUUUCAACUGCUUAUAUACAUGAAACCAUUAAAUCAGCUUACCAAACUCUGUAAAUGUACUUUUCACUUCCCCGCUUUCUCACAUUUGCUCUUGAUGGUUUAUCUUUCCUUAUCGCUUAACAUCCCCCCUAAAGUGAGGGGAAAUUUACAUUUUAUUUUUCCCAACGAGUCUAGCUGGAACUUUGCCUCACAAACUAGCAACAAGGGAGUCUUUGCCUUUCUGAAUUUUGUAUAUUUGACAUAACUUAAGAAACACUGUAAAACAUAAGCGUUAAGCUUCAGAAUUUGAAGAUUCUCUGAUUUCUCACUUAGAAUUAAAAGGCUGAGUAUACAGCCAUGUGUUUCUUCAAAUUGGGCAUGUACACACAUACACAUAAAUUGCUUAUAUAAUUUCCAUACUUAUAUAUGUGAACAUAUACAUUGACAAUUAUCCUGUCAUCAGAUCAUCCAAUGGCUGUUUCAGAGAUUUAAGAUGAUAUUGAUAUUACUUCUAGAGGCUAAAUGUUGUAUAAUGAUUUUAGCAUAUCAUAGAUGCUAAUCUUAAUAGUAUUUCUAAAUCAUAAUCUUUCCUUUGUUUCUUCCUCUUAAUCUCCAUGAAGAAGAUUAUAGAUUUGAAAGGUGAAGUAAGUUAGAAUAAAACCAUGUUAAUCAUUACCUUGGCAAAAAUUGUGUGAAAUUCAGUAUAAAGAAAAGCAUUACUAAUAGCCCUUCUCAAGCAUAGAAAAAGGGAUACUCUAUAUGUGACUGAUUCUAACUAAAAUUAGGCAUUGAAUAAUAGUUUUUAAAAGACACAUGCACACAUAUGUUUAUUGCAGCACUUUUCACAAUAGCAAAGAUUUGGAACCAACCCAAAUGUCCAACAAUGAUAGACAGGAUUAAGAAAAUGUGGCACAUAUACACCAUGGAAUACUAUGCAGCCAUAAAAAAUGAUGAGUUCAUGUCCUUUGUAGGGACAUGGAUGAAAUUGGAAAUCAUCAUUCUCAGUAAACUAUUGCAAGGACAAAAAACCAAACACUGCAUGUUCUCACUCAUAGGUGGGAAUUGAACAAUGAGAACACAUGGACACAGGAAGGGGAACAUCACACUCUGGGGACUGUUGUGGGGUGGGGGGAGGG